ACGUAGGUGGCAAGCGUUGUCCGGAAUUAUUGGGCGUAAAGGGCGCGCAGGUGGUUUCUUAAGUCUGUCUUAAAAGUGCGGGGCUUAACCCCGUGAGGGGACGAAAACUGGGAGACUAGAGUAUCGGAGAGGAAAGCGGAAUUCCUAGUGUAGCGGUGAAAUGCGUAGAUAUUAGGAGGAACACCAGUGGCGAAAGCGGCUUUCUGGACGACAACUGACACUGAGGCGCGAAAGCCAGGGGAGCAAACGG
rnacentral:rRNA from 1 species